CCCUGUGACAUACCAAUUGUUGCCUCGGCGGAUCAGCCCGCUCCCGGUAAAACGGGACGGCCCGCCAGAGGACCCCUAAACUCUGUUUCUAUAUGUAACUUCUGAGUAAAACCAUAAAUAAAUCAAAACUUUCAACAACGGAUCUCUUGGUUCUGGCAUCGAUGAAGAACGCAGCAAAAUGCGAUAAGUAAUGUGAAUUGCAGAAUUCAGUGAAUCAUCGAAUCUUUGAACGCACAUUGCGCCCGCCAGUAUUCUGGCGGGCAUGCCUGUUCGAGCGUCAUUUCAACCCUCAAGCCCCCGGGUUUGGUGUUGGGGAUCGGCGAGCCCUUGCGGCAAGCCGGCCCCGAAAUCUAGUGGCGGUCUCGCUGCAGCUUCCAUUGCGUAGUAGUAAAACCCUCGCAACUGGUACGCGGCGCGGCCAAGCCGUUAAACCCCCAACUUCUGAAUGUUGACCUCGGAUCAGGUAGGAAUACCCGCUGAACUUAAGCAUA
rnacentral:rRNA from 1 species